CGUAGGUGACCUGCGGAAGGAUCAUUACUGAGUGAGGGCCCUCUGGGUCCAACCUCCCACCCGUGUUUAUUUACCUUGUUGCUUCGGCGGGCCCGCCUUAACUGGCCGCCGGGGGGCUUACGCCCCCGGGCCCGCGCCCGCCGAAGACACCCUCGAACUCUGUCUGAAGAUUGUAGUCUGAGUGAAAAUAUAAAUUAUUUAAAACUUUCAACAACGGAUCUCUUGGUUCCGGCAUCGAUGAAGAACGCAGCGAAAUGCGAUACGUAAUGUGAAUUGCAAAUUCAGUGAAUCAUCGAGUCUUUGAACGCACAUUGCGCCCCCUGGUAUUCCGGGGGGCAUGCCUGUCCGAGCGUCAUUGCUGCCCUCAAGCACGGCUUGUGUGUUGGGCCCCGUCCUCCGAUUCCGGGGGACGGGCCCGAAAGGCAGCGGCGGCACCGCGUCCGGUCCUCGAGCGUAUGGGGCUUUGUCACCCGCUCUGUAGGCCCGGCCGGCGCUUGCCGAUCAACCCAAAUUUUUAUCCAGGUUGACCUCGGAUCAGGUAGGGAUACCCGCUGAACUUAAGCAUAUCAUA
rnacentral:rRNA from 2 species